GACUGGACACCCAAAGACCUGAAAUGCUAGAAUGGAUUCAGGACUGCCCACCUGACGGUGAGAAUUUUGGCUGAGGAGACCAGACAGUACCACAGCAGCCCAGGAUGUGAUAGAUCAUCCUGUCCCCAGACUGAGCCUGCACAGGCUCCCAUCAGCUCUGGGACAACUGCCAGGAAUAUCUCUUUCCAGAAUAUACUUGUGACUCUUACUAUUGCACUGUCUGCUUACCAGCUCAGUAGAGAGAGUACAGGAGUCUGCUGAGUUAGGAGCCUCAGAGCCCUGGGAUUGCAGCAAUAUCUCUGAAUUUUGUGGAUUUUGUAAAGGUCAAGAAGAGCCACACAUAUGCCAAGUGUUUGGAUGCAGCAGAGUUAGUAACAAUUGGUGGACACAGGCCAUGGACAACAGUUUGUGCUGGUGCCCAUUCUCACCUUCAUCACGUGAAGGCACAUCUGUGGAGCUCUGCACACACAGAUCAUCCUUCUUUUCUCCUCCCAGAUUCAAAUCUCUUCUACUGUGCCUUGUUUGUGAGACCCUAGCUGACUCCCCCCCAUCAGCAUGAGUUGGCCAUUUCCAUCACUUCUAUUUAAAGGAACGGAUCUAAUAUGCAGUUUCUGAGUUUGAAAUCUGUCCCAGAAAAUAGUGGAAAUUUACAUAUUUAUUUUUGCAGGUGACAUUUGUAAUCUAUUGAAAUGUCUGAGUCAAGCUGAAAAUGCAGAUCUGUAACUUUGCAUGCCCCAGGGGAAAUAUUAACCAAUCUGAUGCAAUGCUAAUAAAUCAUGAUUGUUAUUAUUAUGCUUUGGAUGUGUUGUA